GGGGCAACUCCAGUUCAGUGGCGGACGGGUGCGUAACACGUGAGGAACAUGACUUUCGGCGGGGGAUAGCCGGCCCAACGGCCGGGUAAUACCGCGUACGACCUCUCGGGGACAUCCCCGGUUGGUGAAAGCAGCAGUGCACCGAAAGAGUGCCUCGCGGCCUAUCAGCUAGUUGGUGAGGUAAUGGCUCACCAAGGCGACGACGGGUAGCUGGUCUGAGAGGAUGGCCAGCCACAUUGGGACUGAGACACGGCCCAGACUCCUACGGGAGGCAGCAGUGGGGAAUAUUGCGCAAUGGGCGAAAGCCUGACGCAGCGACGCCGCGUGUGGGAUGACGGCCUUCGGG
rnacentral:rRNA from 1 species